rnacentral:antisense_RNA from 1 species
UGCAGACAACACAGCCAGAGGGGCCUCCAUGAAAUCCAACCCGGGGUUCCCCAUCCUGCGGUCACAAAAGUCCUGGCAUGUCCUUGGGGACUAUCCUAGGUCAGAAUUGCUCAGGGAAGUGAAGGCUCUGGGAUGCAGAACAGAGAAUGCUUUGCUUCUAGAGCAAGCCUCCCCUCCCCAGACGAGCUCCAUGGCUGGAGAAUGCACAGGAGGCGUGACCAUUCAUGGGGCUGUCCCUGAUUGGAGUGGAGGUAGACAUACAGCAUGGCGCCGUCUGGCCCUGCCAGUCACCUGCCGAAGACGGGAGGUUUCUCCCGGAGGGACUAUGACAGUCCCCACCUCUACACGAUGGCCCACCCCCCACAGGAGCAUCAAGGCAGACAGACUCUGGAAGUUGUAAGGAUGAGGACAGUUAGAGACGACAGCAGGUACCUUUUCUGUAGAGUGUAAAUGCCAAGAUGGUGCCGCCCAGAGAUGAACUAGCCAAGAAUACCUAUUUAUGUUGCAGUAUCGCCAAAGAAAAUAAUCACUACUGUGGAACAUGAAGGAUAUAUUUUAAGGCUUUCUCCACAUUAGACUUUCUAGGUUCAUUUUCCCACCCUUCUGAAAUCUGACUCGAUUUUCCAGUUGACCACAGUCUGAAGAGAGCCAGUUGGCGUGAGGUUCUGUGACCUACACAGAUGGUGGGAGGAGUCAGACGGGAAAUCUCUUAUGUCGACGUGGUCACCACCACUUGCUUCUUGAGGGAGAAGAAUCGGAAAGACCUGGCAAGACAGACUAGCUAGAAGGGCUUUCUGAUUCCAGAACAAUACUAAGUUUCCUGAAGUAAAGUAUUAAAUAAAUAUAAAUAAAUGGUAAGACGUAUAUAAAUGUGGUAUGAAGAGGAAGAAAAUAAUGGAAUGGAGGGAAAUAGACACAAAUAGAAAUUCUAAGGUAUUUCUAAUCUGGGAUAGAACA